CAACAUUGUUGUUGUAGAGGCGUUGGCCUGGGCAACAACCCCCUCAAGAUUCUAAUGAUGACAUCAUCUCCAUCAUCUAACAUCAAUGAUCAAACAUGUUUCACAGCUCAGGCCGAGGGGGCGGGGGAAGGAAAUCAGAGGAGCACUCCUCUUCACUUUGAUUGACACUUACUCCUACUGUGUGUCCAGUGUGCUGUCUUGACUGUGUGUCAGAGGACUACAAAAGCGGUGACACCCCCCAACAGCCCCAUUCUAUCCAAGCUUCCUGUUCCCUAUUAAGGCUUGUGUUUGAAGCGACACUUGUCACCAUAGAAACAGCCGGUGGUCCUCCAGAAGAAACACUCAUCACCAUUGAUGGGAGCCAUCCUCCUGGUCCUGGGAGAGAGAGAGACAAACAACAGAUGGAUGUCCUUACCCUGUGGAGGCGUACUUGGAGGCUGAGGAGGUGUUGAGGCCUAUAGGGUUGGUCCUCUGAGGAGAGGGAGGGGUUCUCUGCAUCUAGCUGUCUGGGUACCUGAUCACCAGCCUGGUGCUCUCCAGCUCCACCCCCUGGACCGGAGGACAAACAGCAGGCACAGUCCAAAUACAUGCAAUGGGACCAAUAGCAUAGUCCCACAAGUAAAAUGGAACCAAUAACAAAGCUUGUUUUUCCUUUGCUGCCAGAAAGGAGUUGAAUCGUUGUACUUUUCUCUCUGUGUUGAACGAUGGUGAUACUAUUUAAAGCUCUAAACUGAAGCUCUAAACUGAA